AGCAGCCGCGGUAAUUCCAGCUCCAAUAGCGUAUAUUAAAGUUGUUGCAGUUAAAAAGCUCGUAGUUGAAUUUCGGGAUCAGUACGCUGGUCAUGCCUUUGGUAUGCACUGGUGUCACUGGUUUCUCCCUUCUGAAGAUCCGUGAUGUCAUUAAUUUGGUGUCGCGGGGAAUCAGGACUGUUACUUUGAAAAAAUUAGAGUGUUUAAAGCAGGCUCACGCUUGAAUACAUUAGCAUGGAAUAAUGAAAUAGGACGUUUGACCCUAUUUUGUUGGUUUCUAGGAUCGACGUAAUGAUUAAUAGGGAUAGUUGGGGGCAUUAGUAUCCAAUUGUCAGAGGUGAAAUUCUUGGAUUUAUUGAAGACUAACUACUGCGAAAGCAUUUGCCAAGGAUGUUUUCAUUAAUCAAGAACGAAAGUUAGGGGAUCGAAGACGAUCAGAUACCGUCGUAGUCUUAACCAUAAACUAUGCCGACUAGGGAUCGGAUGAUGUUAAUUUUAUAAUGACUCU
rnacentral:rRNA from 1 species